rnacentral:rRNA from 1 species
GAUGAACGCUGGCGGCGUGCCUAAUACAUGCAAGUCGAGCGAACAGACGAGGAGCUUGCUCCUCUGACGUUAGCGGCGGACGGGUGAGUAACACGUGGAUACCCUACCUAUAAGACUGGGAUAACUUCGGGAAACCGGAGCUAAUACCGGAUAAUAUAUUGAACCGCAUGGUUCAUUAGUGAAAGACGGUUUUGCUGUCACUUAUAGAUGGUUCCGCGCCGCAUUAGUUAGUUGGUACGGUAACGGCUUACCAAGGCGACGAUGCGUAGCCGACCUGAGAGGGUGAUCGGCCACACUGGAACUGAGACACGGUCCAGACUCCUACGGGAGGCAGCAGUAGGGAAUCUUCCGCAAUGGGCGAAAGCCUGACGGAGCAACGCCGCGUGAGUGAUGAAGGUCUUCGGAUCGUAAAGCUCUGUUAUUAGGGAAGAACAGAUGUGUAAGUAACUAUGCACGUCUUGACGGUACCUAAUCAGAAAGCCACGGCUAACUACGUG